UAGAAAGGAAAUCUUUUAAAAACAUAUUUUAGAGUGUUUUAUUGUGGAAAUGUCCUCAAACAUUUUCAUCCCAUUUUCCCAGAGAAGCCUGACAGCCCAGGGAGCAGGGGCGGGGCUGGGGUGGGGAAGAACAAAACGCAGCGGCCACACCCUUGAACUCUUUUGUGUGUUCAGAACAAUGUCUAGUUAAAAUAAAACAAUAUUGCCGCUAAGCACGCCUAAAAUAGUCCUCGGUGAGUGCUCCUGCCCCAUGGCAGGGUCCCUGCGGAGGGCGGUGCGCGGGGGCCGAGGGCCCGGGCCUGAGCUCGGCCCGGCCGGCAGCGGGGCGCACGGAGGCUGGGUGCCCCGCAGCCCGGGCACAGCUGGCACGGCCGGCUGCCCGGGCCCUCACGCCCAUCCCGCCGCCGGCCCUGCACCCGGGCGGAAAGCAAAAGCCCGGGCCAGGCCCGGGGGGCGGGUGAAGCUCAUAAAGCAGAAGUCACGAAGUCUGGAGCUCCGGCCAGAUUUCCUGGGAAGAAGGAUUAUUUCUGCUGCCAGGGAAGUUGAAAAAACCGUUCAGAUUUCGUGA
rnacentral:lncRNA from 1 species